UUGUAAGUGUCUAAGGGCGCAUGGUGGAUGCCUUGGCAUCGAGAGCCGAUGAAGGACGUGGGAGGCUGCGAUAUGCCUCGGGGAGCUGUCAACCGAGCGUGGAUCCGAGGAUUUCCGAAUGGGGAAACCCAGCACGAGUGAUGUCGUGCUACCCGCAUCUGAAUAUAUAGGGUGCGGGAGGGAACGCGGGGAAGUGAAACAUCUCAGUACCCGUAGGAGGAGAAAACAAUUGUGAUUCCGCAAGUAGUGGCGAGCGAACGCGGAACAGGCUAAACCGCACGCAUGGGUAACCGGGUAGGGGUUGUGUGUGCGGGGUUGUGGGAGGAUAUGUCUCAGCGCUACCCGGCUGAGAGGCAGUCAGAAAGUGUCGUGGUUAGCGGAAGUGGCCUGGGAUGGUCUGCCGUAGACGGUGAGAGCCCGGUACGCGAAAACCCGGCACCUGCCUAGUAUCAAUUCCCGAGUAGCAGCGGGCCCGUGGAAUCCGCUGUGAAUCCGCCGGGACCACCCGGUAAGCCUAAAUACUCCUCGAUGACCGAUAGCGGAUUAGUACCGUGAGGGAAUGGUGAAAAGUACCCCGGGAGGGGAGUGAAAGAGUACCUGAAACCGUGUGCCUACAAUCCGUCAGAGCCUCCUUUUCCUCUCCGGAGGAGGGUGGUGAUGGCGUGCCUUUUGAAGAAUGAGCCUGCGAGUCAGGGACAUGUCGCAAGGUUAACCCGUGUGGGGUAGCCGCAGCGAAAGCGAGUCUGAAUAGGGCGACCCACACGCGCAUACGCGCGUGUGAAUAGUGGCGUGUUCUGGACCCGAAGCGGAGUGAUCUACCCAUGGCCAGGGUGAAGCGCGGGUAAGACCGCGUGGAGGCCCGAACCCACUUAGGUUGAAGACUGAGGGGAUGAGCUGUGGGUAGGGGUGAAAGGCCAAUCAAACUCCGUGAUAGCUGGUUCUCCCCGAAAUGCAUUUAGGUGCAGCGUUGCGUGGUUCACCGCGGAGGUAGAGCUACUGGAUGGCCGAUGGGCCCUACUAGGUUACUGACGUCAGCCAAACUCCGAAUGCCGUGGUGUAAAGCGUGGCAGUGAGACGGCGGGGGAUAAGCUCCGUACGUCGAAAGGGAAACAGCCCAGAUCGCCGGCUAAGGCCCCCAAGCGUGUGCUAAGUGGGAAAGGAUGUGCAGUCGCAAAGACAACCAGGAGGUUGGCUUAGAAGCAGCCACCCUUGAAAGAGUGCGUAAUAGCUCACUGGUCAAGUGAUUGUGCGCCGAUAAUGUAGCGGGGCUCAAGCACACCGCCGAAGCCGCGGCACAUCCACCUUGUGGUGGGUGUGGGUAGGGGAGCGUCCCUCAUUCAGCGAAGCCACCGGGUGACCGGUGGUGGAG
rnacentral:rRNA from 1 species